GAUGAACGCUAGCGGCAGGCCUAACACAUGCAAGUCGAGGGGUAACUAGAGUGAUAGCAAUAUUACUUUGGCUAGACCGGCGCACGGGUGCGUAACACGUAUGCAACCUACCUUAUACUGGGGAAUAACUUCGAGAAAUCGGCGCUAAUACCCCAUAACACUGCGGAGAGGCAUCUCUUUGCAGUUAAAGCUCCGGCGGUAUAAGAUGGGCAUGCGUCCAAUUAGCUAGUUGGUGAGGUAACGGCUCACCAAGGCUACGAUUGGUAGGGGUUCUGAGAGGAUGAUCCCCCACACUGGUACUGAGACACGGACCAGACUCCUACGGGAGGCAGCAGUGAGGAAUAUUGCGCAAUGGACGAAAGUCUGACGCAGCCAUGCCGCGUGCAGGAUGACGGCCCUAUGGGUUGUAAACUGCUUUUGUACGGGAAUAAACCCUUCUACGUGUAGGAGGCUGAAGGUACUGUAAGAAUAAGCACCGGCUAACUACGUGCCAGCCGCCGCAGUAA
rnacentral:rRNA from 1 species